rnacentral:rRNA from 1 species
AACGAACGCUGGCGGCAUGCCUAACACAUGCAAGUCGAACGAAGGCUUCGGCCUUAGUGGCGCACGGGUGCGUAACGCGUGGGAAUCUGCCCUUUGGUUCGGAAUAACAGCUGGAAACGGCUGCUAAUACCGGAUGAUGACGAAAGUCCAAAGAUUUAUCGCCAGAGGAUGAGCCCGCGUUGGAUUAGGUAGUUGGUGGGGUAAAGGCCUACCAAGCCGACGAUCCAUAGCUGGUCUGAGAGGAUGAUCAGCCACACUGGGACUGAGACACGGCCCAGACUCCUACGGGAGGCAGCAGUGGGGAAUAUUGGACAAUGGGCGCAAGCCUGAUCCAGCAAUGCCGCGUGAGUGAUGAAGGCCCUAGGGUUGCAAAGCUCUUUUACCCGGGAAGAUAAUGACUGUACCGGGAGAAUAAGCCCCGGCUAACUCCGUG